rnacentral:rRNA from 1 species
GACGAACGCUGGUGGCGUGCCUAAUACAUGCAAGUCGAGCGGACCAAUAGAAGCUUGCUUCUGUUGGUUAGCGGCGGACGGGUGAGUAACACGUGGGCAACCUGCCUGUAAGACUGGGAUAACUUCGGGAAACCGGAGCUAAUACCGGAUAAUUCAUCCCCUCGCAUGAGGGGAUGCUGAAAGUCGGUUUACGCUGACACUUAAAGAUGGGCCCGCGGCGCAUUAGCUAGUUGGUGGGGUAAUGGCUCACCAAGGCGACGAUGCGUAGCCGACCUGAGAGGGUGAUCGGCCACACUGGGACUGAGACACGGCCCAGACUCCUACGGGAGGCAGCAGUAGGGAAUCUUCCACAAUGGACGAAAGUCUGAUGGAGCAACGCCGCGUGAGCGAUGAAGGCCUUCGGGUCGUAAAGCUCUGUUGUUAGGGAAGAACAAGUAUCGGAGUAACUGCCGGUACCUUGACGGUACCUAACCAGAAAGCCACGGCUAACUACGUGCCAGCCGCCGCCGUAA